CAACUUCAUUCUGCAUUUAUGAAACGAUUCCUUCUUUCCUUGAAGAAAGAUCCAACUCCACUUACAGGAUGACACAGACAAUGUCACCCGUCUUAUGAUGCUGGCUCGAGAACCCAUUAUUCCUCGCACCGACAAGCCAUUCAAGACCAGCGUAGUCUUAUCUCUGGAAGAGGGACCUGGUCAACUGUUCAAAGUACUCGCGGUGUUUGCUCUGAAAAACCAACCUCACAAAGAUGGAAAGCCGCCCACAAAAGGCCUCUACGUGUAGCUGAUGAUAACUGUUCUGCACCACUGAAGCACUUUGACUACCUCUUCUAUGUAGAUCUUGAAGCGUCAAUGGCUGAUCCAAAUGCUCAAAGUGCUCUUGAAAACUUGAAGGAAUUCGCAAAGUUCCUAAAAGUUCUUGGGAGCUACCCUACAGGUGUGAGUGAAGGGUGAAAUGACAAGUGACUUCUGCAAACCCAUAGUUGAUCUUGAUUGUAGUUCAUAUCCCCAACCCUGGAGCUGGAGUUGUUUUAUCCUCUCUGGUUGUCGUGGAAAAGUGUUAGUACGUGGCACUAGAGACUUGCCAACACGACAAGAAGUAUGACAUUCGUUCAUUUCUGGUUGAAGUAUGUCUCAGGAGGACCUCUCUAAUUUUAUUGAUGUCAAGAACCUACAAUUCAUGUCUUAGAAUUUCAUUCCAAGAACUUUGUGAAAAGGUACAGUAUUAUCUGUUGACAUAUAUAGAACCUAACAGAAAAGAAAAGGAGAUGAUGACUGGUCAACCUUUGGUACAAUAGAACGUUGCUGGAGAAUUUUAGUCUGUCCAUGAUGAUGCAACUGCGGUGGUUAAGGAUUGGACGUCAGGAAAACAUUGCACUAAUGGUUAUUAUUGUUAUGGUCUAGCAUGUGCUUUCCACUUUUCGUGCCUGGGCGGUUUGUUCCGCCACUUGUUUGAUUUUUUUUAAUAUUGAAAUCUAUAAAUAGGUUGCAUUUCCGAUCACCUCUGCCUUCCUUGCUCAAAUAACAAACAGGAGAUCGAGGUCGAGUGCCUUCAACUCAACGUUCUUUUUUUAAAUCAAGACUUGUGAUCAAAACUUAACCUUUUUUAAAGGGGCUAUUGCGUUCUUACCCUUGUUUCAAAGUCCAAUUGUGAUUUUACCUUCGUUUUUGUCAUCGUUGCGAUUUUACCCUUGCUUUGUAACUACUAAGGCUCAGUUUACCCCUACUUUUAACUCUGUUAGUUGUUUCUGAAAUAAAAAAAAAUAAAAAACAACAAAACCCUUCACAAUAAGACCAAAGGACAAUAAUACCCCUUAUCCAAUCAUAUCUUUCCCCAAUUCCCCAUUCUCUCUAUCUCUCUGCCGUAUCCUCUGUGUCUCUCCCGUGUAACCCUAGCGGCUGGGCAAGCACGGAAUCAGCGGGCGUCACGACGGCCGGUCGCGCGGAGGGCCAGGCCAGCAAUUGCCGCGCAGGAGCCGCGUCGUGCUCCCAACAGGCGCCGCGUUGGGCUUUGGGCGGGAGGCACGCUGCGUCGGGCUUUAGGCGGGAGCGCGCCGCGUCUGGCUUCGUGUUGGAGGCGCGCCGCGUCACGCUGGAGGCAGCUGCGUCGGGCUUCAGGCGCCGCGUCGGGCUGGAGCGUGGUGUCGGGCAACCAGGCGCCGCACGGGUGGGCUGCAGAAGCCACAUCUGGCGGCCAGGAGCCUCUGCGUCCGGCGGCCAGGGCCCUGCGCGGGUGGGCGCCAGGCACUAGUGCUGGUGAGCGGCAGGAGAUGGAUUUACGCAAUGUUGGUGAAGAGACUAGGUAAGAUUUGGAGCUCCUAUGGUGUGAUUUUGUAGGGAAAUUAGUUUCUCUUUGUAAAGUGAUUCGGAUAACUGUGUAUUCGCUGGUGUAAUUCCUAGGAGGAUAACCGUGUAUUCGCUGUGUAUCUAUCUAUAUUUGCAUGUUACGUGGAAAUAUAUGUAACAAGUUGUCUAA